ACGAACGCUGGCGGCGUGCUUAACACAUGCAAGUCGAACGGAAAGGCCUAGCUUGCUAGGUACUCGAGUGGCGAACGGGUGAGUAACACGUGGGUGAUCUGCCUCGUACUUCGGGAUAAGCCUGGGAAACUGGGUCUAAUACUGGAUAGGACCAUGCUUUAGUGUGUGUGGUGGAAAGUUUUUUCGGUACGAGAUGAGCCCGCGGCCUAUCAGCUUGUUGGUGGGGUAAUGGCCUACCAAGGCGUCGACGGGUAGCCGGCCUGAGAGGGUGGACGGCCACAUUGGGACUGAGAUACGGCCCAGACUCCUACUGGAGGCAGCAGUGGGGAAUAUUGCACAAUGGGCGCAAGCCUGAUGCAGCGACGCCGCGUGGGGGAUGACGGCCUUCGGGUUGUAAACCUCUUUCGCUAGGGACGAAGCUUUUGUGACGGUACCUAGAUAAGAAGCACCGGCUAACUACGUGCCAGCAGCCGCGGUAAUACGUAGGGUGCGAGCGUUGUCCGGAAUUACUGGGCGUAAAGAGCUCGUAGGUGGUUUGUCGCGUCGUCUGUGAAAUUCCGGGGCUUAACUUCGGGCGUGCAGGCGAUACGGGCAUAACUUGAGUGCUGUAGGGGAGACUGGAAUUCCUGGUGUAGCGGUGGAAUGCGCAGAUAUCAGGAGGAACACCGAUGGCGAAGGCAGGUCUCUGGGCAGUAACUGACGCUGAGGAGCGAAAGCAUGGGGAGCGAACAGGAUUAGAUACCCUGGUAGUCCAUGCCGUAAACGGUGGGCGCUAGGUGUGAGGGUCUUCCACGACUUUCGUGCCGUAGCUAACGCAUUAAGCGCCCCGCCUGGGGAGUACGGCCGCAAGGCUAAAACUCAAAGGAAUUGACGGGGGCCCGCACAAGCGGCGGAGCAUGUGGAUUAAUUCGAUGCAACGCGAAGAACCUUACCUGGGCUUGACAUAUGCAGGAUCGGCGUAGUGAUACGUUUUCCCUUGUGGUCUGUAUACAGGUGGUGCAUGGUUGUCGUCAGCUCGUGUCGUGAGAUGUUGGGUUAAGUCCCGCAACGAGCGCAACCCUUGUCUUAUGUUGCCAGCACGUGAUGGUGGGGACUCAUGAGAGACUGCCGGGGUUAACUCGGAGGAAGGUGGGGAUGACGUCAAAUCAUCAUGCCCCUUAUGUCCAGGGCUUCACACAUGCUACAAUGGUCGGUACAACGCGCUGCGAGCCUGUGAGGGUGAGCGAAUCGCUGAAAGCCGGCCUCAGUUCGGAUUGGGGUCUGCAACUCGACCCCAUGAAGUCGGAGUCGCUAGUAAUCGCAGAUCAGCAACGCUGCGGUGAAUACGUUCCCGGGCCUUGUACACACCGCCCGUCACGUCAUGAAAGUUGGUAACACCCGAAGCCAGUGGCC
rnacentral:rRNA from 2 species